GAUGAACGCUGGCGGCGUGCUUAACACAUGCCAGUCGAGCGAGUGAGUUCUUCGGAACGAUCUAGCGGCGGACGGGUGAGUAACACGUGGGCAACCUGCCUCAUAGAGGGGAAUAGCCUCCCGAAAGGGAGAUUAAUACCGCAUAAAAUUAUCGAGUGGCAUCACAUGAUAAUCAAAGGAGUAAUCCGCUAUGAGAUGGGCCCGCGGCGCAUUAGCUAGUUGGUGAGGUAACGGCUCACCAAGGCGACGAUGCGUAGCCGACCUGCGAGGGUGAUCGGCCACAUUGGGACUGAGACACGGCCCAGACUCCGACGGGAGGCAGCAGUGGGGAAUAUUGCACAAUGGGGGAAACCCUGAUGCAGCAACGCCGGGUGAGUGAUGAAGGUCUUCGGAUUGUAAAGCUCUGUCUUUGGGGACGAUAAUGACGGUACCCAAGGAGGAAGCCACGGCUAACUACGUGCCAGCAGCCGCCGUAA
rnacentral:rRNA from 1 species